rnacentral:rRNA from 1 species
GACGAACGCUGGCGGCGUGCUUAACACAUGCAAGUCGAACGGACAGGUCCUGCUUUUGUGGGUUGCUCGAGUGCCGAACGGGUGUGUAACACGUGAGUAACCUGCCCUUGACUUUGGGAUAACUUCAGGAAACUGGGGCUCAUACCGGAUAUGAUCUCCUGCUGCAUGUUGGUGGUUGGAAAGUUUCGGCGGUUGGGGAUGGACUCGCUGCUUCUCAGCUUGUUGGUGGGGUAGUUGCUUACCAAGGCUUUGACGGGUAGCCGGCCUGAGAGGGGUAACGGCCACAAGGCGACUGAGAGACGGCCCAGAAGGCUACGGGACGCAACGGGGGAGAGUAUGACAGAAUGGGCGGGAGUGUGAGACAGAAACGCCGCGUGCGGGAUGACGGCCUUCGGGUUGUAAACAGCUGUCGAAGGAGACGAAGAGUGAGUGACGGUAAUGGGUAAAGAAGCAACGGCUAACUACGUG